UUUGAUUUCAUUAGAUUUUAUUAGAUUUUAUGUGGGGAAUAUUCUAGUAAUAUACCAUAAAGAAGUUUUGGAAGAUCUUUAUGAAUCCUAAAAUACUCACCCUUCCAUCAUUCACCUUCUUCUUCCCUCCUCCCUCUGUUGCCCUCAGCUCAAACCCACACACAUACACCCACCAUUUUCAAGCUUCAAUCAUUCAAUCCAAGGUGAUCUAGUGGUGUAUGGAGGCCAUUUAGGAAGGUGUAUGGUGCUAGAACUUGAAGGACCACCUUGUGGAGCUUUUAACCUCUUGAUUUCUUCCUUGUUCAUCAUCUCCAUUUUUGUGCCACUUCCCUAGCCAUUAGAGCUAGUAGCAAAACGAGUAAAUUCGGUGAAGUUACGAGGUUUAGAGAUGAAACGGAAGCAUGCGGGAAUGUUUCGGAUCGAAUAACUACUUGGAACUGAAAGAAAUAUGAAGAAUGGAAGUUCAGGGACCUUUCGGUCAUUAUCGGAAGUGAAACAUAGUGUGAUGUUUGAGCUUUAUGAAGAAUACUAAAGUUGAGGGGCCAUUAUGUAAUGAUGUGGAAGUUGCUUUGUGAGUGGAAAAGGAAGAUGAAAUCAUGAUGGGGCUUACGGUGUGAAAGCCGUAGCUUACGGUUUAUACGUGUGGAAACCAAAAAGUAACAGUAGCUUUGAACCGUCAUCUACGGUCUUAUACAGUGCACAAGGGAAUUGCCAAACAACCCAUGUUGGGAAAUCAUCAUUCAUCACAUGCGCAGACUUGGAAGAGCACCAAUUAAAAAGGAGGCCAUUGUUUGUUUUAAGAAAAGCAUUAAAUCACAACAUCAUCAUCAUCGA